rnacentral:rRNA from 1 species
GGGGGGGGGGGGCGGGGGGGGGGGCGCGUGCGGGGCGAGCGGGGGGGGGGAGCUUGCUCCGGGGUGCAGCGGCGGACGGGUGGGUAAUGCCUAGGAAUCUGCCUGGUAGUGGGGGAUAACGUCCGGAAACGGGCGCUAAUACCGCAUACGUCCUGAGGGAGAAAGUGGGGGAUCUUCGGACCUCACGCUAUCAGAUGAGCCUAGGUCGGAUUAGCUAGUUGGUGGGGUAAAGGCCUCCCAAGGCGACGAUCCGUAACUGGUCUGAGAGGAUGAUCAGUCACACUGGAACUGAGACACGGUCCAGACUCCUACGGGAGGCAGCAGUGGGGAAUAUUGGACAAUGGGCGAAAGCCUGAUCCAGCCAUGCCGCGUGUGUGAAGAAGGUCUUCGGAUUGUAAAGCACUUUAAGUUGGGAGGAAGGGCAGUAAGUUAAUACCUUGCUGUUUUGACGUUACCAACAGAAUAAGCACCGGCUAACUUCGUG